rnacentral:rRNA from 1 species
AUACGGAGGAUCCGAGCGUUAUCCGGAUUUAUUGGGUUUAAAGGGUGCGCAGGCGGCCAUUUAAGUCAGCGGUUAAAUCGUGGGGCUCAACCCCAUUCUGCCGUUGAUACUGGGUGGCUUGAUUGCGGUCGAGGUUGGCGGAAUUCGUUGUGUAGCGGUGAAAUGCAUAGAUAUGACGAAGAACACCGAUUGCGUAGGCAGCUGACCAGACCGCAAAUGACGCUCAUGCACGAAAGUGCGGGGAUCGAACAGGAUUAGAUACCCUGGUAGUCCGCACAGUAAACGAUGAAUACUUGUUUUCGGCGAUAUAAUGUCGGAGGCAAAGCGAAAGCGAUAAGUAUUCCACCUGGAGAGUACGCCGGCAACGGUGAAACUCAAAUGAAUUGGCGGGG